CGGGAUACACCCUGUGCUCGCUUUGC
rnacentral:miRNA from 1 species